rnacentral:tRNA from 1 species
ACCUGGCGGGCUCAGUGGGUGGAGCAUGAGACUCUUGAUCUCAGGCUUGUGAGUUUGAGCUCCAUGUUGGGUA